rnacentral:rRNA from 1 species
UACGUAGGGGGCAAGCGUUGUCCGGAUUUAUUGGGCGUAAAGAGCGUGUAGGCGGCUAGGUAGGUCCGUUGUGAAAACUCGAGGCUCAACCUCGAGACGUCGAUGGAAACCAUCUAGCUAGAGUCCGGAAGAGGAGAGUGGAAUUCCUGGUGUAGCGGUGAAAUGCGCAGAUAUCAGGAAGAACACCCGUGGCGAAGGCGGCACUCUGGGCCGAUACUGACACUGAGGAGCGAAAGCGUGGGGAGCCAACAGG